rnacentral:lncRNA from 1 species
GCAAUGCUGCCCAAACCUAAACAAAAGUCCCAGUGUGAUUUCUGUGCUGUUUUACCAGGUCAGACAGCUUUAAAUCGACUGUGCUUUCAUGGCUGGCUGGGAAUCUUUUCACAUUGCUAGUGAGCUUUGCCAAGUACCACGGACAGAUCACAGCAUACGUGGAGAUCCUGACCCACAAUUCUGAUUGAGAAAAUAGUAAAUUAUGGGCCGGCCCAGUGGCAUAGUAAGGAAUAAGAGAGCAUGUUACUCUGUUUCCACUGGUCCCUAUUGAUUCUGGGAGACUGGGAGACUUGCGCCUACUGGAAGUGGCUACAACACAAGUAAUAUUCUAAUACAUGGAUCAGAU